UACGAAGGGGGCUAGCGUUGCUCGGAAUCACUGGGCGUAAAGCGCACGUAGGCGGAUUGCUAAGUCAGGGGUGAAAUCCUGGAGCUCAACUCCAGAACUGCCUUUGAUACUGGCAACCUUGAGUUCGGGAGAGGUGAGUGGAACUGCGAGUGUAGAGGUGAAAUUCGUAGAUAUUCGCAAGAACACCAGUGGCGAAGGCGGCUCACUGGCCCGAUACUGACGCUGAGGCACGAAAGCGUGGGGAGCAAACAGG
rnacentral:rRNA from 1 species